UUUAUCAAAAACAUCGCCUCUUGUGACCCCAAAAAAAAGAGGUCCUGCCUGCCCCGUGACUAAACGUUUAACGGCCGCGGUACUUUGACCGUGCGAAGGUAGCGCAAUCACUUGUCUUUUAAAUGGAGACCGGUAUGAAUGGCAAGACGAGGGCCUGACUGUCUCCUUUUUCCAGUCGAUGAAAUUGAUCUCCCCGUGCAGAAGCGGGGAUUAACACAUAAGACGAGAAGACCCUGUGGAGCUUUAGACACCAAGGCAGCCUGCGUUACACAACCCCUCAUAAGGACCUAAACAGAGCCGACCCUGCCUCCAUGUCUUUGGUUGGGGCGACCACGGGGAAACAAAAAACCCCCGCGUGGACAGGGAGAAUUCUUACUCCUACAGACAAGAGCGCCCGCUCUAAUUAACAGAAACUCUGACCUUCCAGAUCCGGCCAAGCCGAUCAACGAACCGAGUUACCCCAGGGAUAACAGCGCAAUCCUCUUUCAGAGCUCAUAUCGACAAGAGGGUUUACGACCUCGAUGUUGGAUCAGGACAUCCUACUGGUGCAGAAGCUAUUAAGGGUUCGUUUGUUCAACGAUUAAAGUCCUACGUGAUCUG
rnacentral:rRNA from 1 species